rnacentral:rRNA from 1 species
UACAGAGGUCUCAAGCGUUGUUCGGAUUCAUUGGGCGUAAAGGGUGCGUAGGUGGCUUGGUAAGUCGGAUGUGAAAUCCCGGGGCUCAACCCCGGAACUGCAUUCGAUACUGCUGCGCUAGAGUACUGGAGAGGAGAUUGGAAUUUACGGUGUAGCAGUGAAAUGCGUAGAUAUCGUAAGGAAGACCAGUGGCGAAGGCGGAUCUCUGGACAGUUACUGACACUGAGGCACGAAGGCCAGGGGAGCAAACGGG